rnacentral:rRNA from 1 species
UCGGAUGCUGACGAGUGGCGAACGGGUGAGUAAUACAUCGGAACGUGCCUAGUAGUGGGGGAUAACUACUCGAAAGAGUAGCCAAUACCGCAUGAGAUCUACGGAUGAAAGCAGGGGACCUUCGGGCCUUGUGCUACUAGAGCGGCUGAUGGCAGAUUAGGUAGUUGGUGGGGUAAAGGCUUACCAAGCCUGCGAUCUGUAGCUGGUCUGAGAGGACGACCAGCCACACUGGGACUGAGACACGGCCCAGACUCCUACGGGAGGCAGCAGUGGGGAAUUUUGGACAAUGGGCGAAAGCCUGAUCCAGCAAUGCCGCGUGCAGGAUGAAGGCCCUCGGGUUGUAAACUGCUUUUGUACGGAACGAAAAGCCUGGGGCUAAUAUCCCCGGGUCAUGACGGUACCGUAAGAAUAAGCACCGGCUAACUACGUGCCAGCAGCCGCGGUAAUACGUAGGGUGCAAGCGUUAAUCGGAAUUACUGGGCGUAAAGCGUGCGCAGGCGGUUUUGUAAGACAGUGGUGAAAUCCCCGGGCUCAACCUGGGAACUGCCAUUGUGACUGCAAGGCUAGAGUGCGGCAGAGGGGGAUGGAAUUCCGCGUGUAGCAGUGAAAUGCGUAGAUAUGCGGAGGAACACCGAUGGCGAAGGCAAUCCCCUGGGCCUGCACUGACGCUCAUGCACGAAAGCGUGGGGAGCAAACAGG